UAAUACGAAGGGGGCUAGCGUUGCUCGGAAUCACUGGGCGUAAAGCGCACGUAGGCGGAUUUCUAAGUCAGGGGUGAAAUCCUGGAGCUCAACUCCAGAACUGCCUUUGAUACUGGGAAUCUCGAGUCCGGGAGAGGUGAGUGGAACUGCGAGUGUAGAGGUGAAAUUCGUAGAUAUUCGCAAGAACACCAGUGGCGAAGGCGGCUCACUGGCCCGGUACUGACGCUGAGGUGCGAAAGCGUGGGGAGCAAACAG
rnacentral:rRNA from 1 species